ACCUUGCCAUUGCACAGUGUGUGAUUGUAUCAACAGCUGGGACACGUGCCGGGGAUGAACGAAGCAAGUUGGAGCCAGAUGAUAACAUUUUUCCACUCUCAGGGAGUGUGUGAUUCUUCUUGAGGAAGAGCCUGUCUGAAACCCCUGGAUUCCAUGGUAGCUCAGCAUAUGACAGACUCAAAUAUAUAGCUGCAGCCCUUAAAGUAUAAUGAGUCCCUACUGUACAGUGAAACAAUUCCAGACAUACAUAUGCGACAUGGGAAGAACCAGGUGCCAAAAAUUUCUCUUCUGUCUGGCCAUAAACUUCAAAAAUAUUCUCUCUAAAAGGUAAAAAUCCAAUGAACUCUAUAACGAAAACUUUUGUUUAUAUAAAGUCACAUCCACCAUCUUUAUCUUCAGAAUGUAACCACCCUCAAACAAAAGUUGUGGGGUUUUUAGUUUGGUUUUGUGUUGCUUUGUUUUAAUAAAAAGGGACUUAAAUCCUCCAAGAGGCUGUUGGAAAAAGGCAUGUAGUUUUUAUGCCUAUGAACGUAUGAGCACGUAUGUAAAUCCAGAGUUGUACAGGACUUUUAAUAACAUCUGGUUCAGCAGAUGGUGACCAGCAGAAAAGAGCUACCCAGCUUCACUGGAAGCUCUCAGGUUCACCAAGAGCUUGUGGAAGAGACUUGAGAAGGAGGAGAAGGCACAACCUACCAAGCAGAGACUGAGAGGUGACAUGUCUGGACAAAGAUGACAGUAGUGCAAAAAAAACAGAUGAAGCCCUGCUCAGUAAUGAGGUCCUCAGCCCAAGACGCUGUUCUUUGCCUCCAGACGUGAAAGCAAUGGGUCUUUAAUCUGGAAAGCAAUCUUAUUGUCCAAGAUGGUCUCUUGGGAACUGUUAAAGUUGUAUGACAUGGGAAGAAUUUCCAUUUUGCAGUGCAAAUGGACCUGCCACAACAAUCCAGUGAGACUGGUAACUCAAGCAGCACUAAAGGAAAGUACAAGUCCUCAUCUGGUUGUCAGACCGAGCUUAGGAAACCAGCGUGUUACUUCCAUCUGCUGA
rnacentral:lncRNA from 1 species